CCUACGGGUGGCAGCAGUGAGGAAUAUUGGUCAAUGGGCGCGAGCCUGAACCAGCCAAGUAGCGUGAAGGAUGACUGCCCUACGGGUUGUAAACUUCUUUUAUAAAGGAAUAAAGUGAGGCACGUGUGCCUUUUUGUAUGUACUUUAUGAAUAAGGAUCGGCUAACUCCGUGCCAGGAGCAGAGGUAAUACGGAGGAUGCGAGCGUUAUCCGGAUUUAUUGGGUUUAAAGGGAGCGUAGAUGGGUUGUUAAGUCAGUUGUGAAAGUUUGCGGCUUCACCGUAGAAUUGCAGUUGAUACUGGCAGCCUUGAGUACAGUUGAGGUAGGCGGAAUUCGUGGUGUAGCGGUGAAAUGCUUAGAUAUCACGAAGAACUCCGAUUGCGAAGGCAGCUUACUAAACUGCCACUGACAUUGAGGCUCGAAAGUGUGGGUAUCAAACAGGAUUAGAUACCCGAGUAGUC
rnacentral:rRNA from 1 species